rnacentral:rRNA from 1 species
UUCGAUUCCCUUAGUAGCGGCGAGCGAAACGGGAAGAGCCCAAACCAACAAGCUUGCUUGUUGGGGUUGUAGGACACUCUAUACGGAGUUACAAAGGACGACAUUAGACGAAUCAUCUGGAAAGAUGAAUCAAAGAAGGUAAUAAUCCUGUAGUCGAAAAUGUUGUCUCUCUUGAGUGGAUCCUGAGUACGACGGAGCACGUGAAAUUCCGUCGGAAUCUGGGAGGACCAUCUCCUAAGGCUAAAUACUCUCUAGUGACCGAUAGUGAACCAGUACCGUGAGGGAAAGGUGAAAAGCACCCCGGAAGGGGAGUGAAAUAGAACCUGAAACCGUGUGCUUACAAGUAGUCAGAGCCCGUUAAUGGGUGAUGGCGUGCCUUUUGUAGAAUGAACCGGCGAGUUACGAUUUGAUGCAAGGUUAAGCAGUAAAUGUGGAGCCGUAGCGAAAGCGAGUCUGAAUAGGGCGUUUAGUAUUUGGUCGUAGACCCGAAACCAGGUGAUCUACCCUUGGUCAGGUUGAAGUUCAGGUAACACUGAAUGGAGGACCGAACCGACUUACGUUGAAAAGUGAGCGGAUGAACUGAGGGUAGCGGAGAAAUUCCAAUCGAACCUGGAGAUAGCUGGUUCUCUCCGAAAUAGCUUUAGGGCUAGCCUCAAGUGAUGAUUAUUGGAGGUAGAGCACUGUUUGGACGAGGGGCCCCUCUCGGGUUACCGAAUUCAGACAAACUCCGAAUGCCAAUUAAUUUAACUUGGGAGUCAGAACAUGGGUGAUAAGGUCCGUGUUCGAAAGGGAAACAGCCCAGACCACCAGCUAAGGUCCCAAAAUAUAUGUUAAGUGGAAAAGGAUGUGGCGUUGCCCAGACAACUAGGAUGUUGGCUUAGAAGCAGCCAUCAUUUAAAGAGUGCGUAAUAGCUCACUAGUCGAGUGACACUGCGCCGAAAAUGUACCGGGGCUAAACAUAUUACCGAAGCUGUGGAUUGUCCUUUGGACAAUGGUAGGAGAGCGUUCUAAGGGCGUUGAAGCAUGAUCGUAAGGACAUGUGGAGCGCUUAGAAGUGAGAAUGCCGGUGUGAGUAGCGAAAGACGGGUGAGAAUCCCGUCCACCGAUUGACUAAGGUUUCCAGAGGAAGGCUCGUCCGCUCUGGGUUAGUCGGGUCCUAAGCUGAGGCCGACAGGCGUAGGCGAUGGAUAACAGGUUGAUAUUCCUGUACCACCUAUAAUCGUUUUAAUCGAUGGGGGGACGCAGUAGGAUAGGCGAAGCGUGCGAUUGGAUUGCACGUCUAAGCAGUAAGGCUGAGUAUUAGGCAAAUCCGGUACUCAUUAAGGCUGAGCUGUGAUGGGGAGAAGACAUUGUGUCUUCGAGUCGUUGAUUUCACACUGCCGAGAAAAGCCUCUAGAUAGAAAAUAGGUGCCCGUACCGCAAACCGACACAGGUAGUCAAGAUGAGAAUUCUAAGGUGAGCGAGCGAACUCUCGUUAAGGAACUCGGCAAAAUGACCCCGUAACUUCGGGAGAAGGGGUGCUCUUUAGGGUUAACGCCCAGAAGAGCCGCAGUGAAUAGGCCCAAGCGACUGUUUAUCAAAAACACAGGUCUCUGCUAAACCGUAAGGUGAUGUAUAGGGGCUGACGCCUGCCCGGUGCUGGAAGGUUAAGAGGAGUGGUUAGCUUCUGCGAAGCUACGAAUCGAAGCCCCAGUAAACGGCGGCCGUAACUAUAACGGUCCUAAGGUAGCGAAAUUCCUUGUCGGGUAAGUUCCGACCCGCACGAAAGGCGUAACGAUUUGGGCACUGUCUCAACGAGAGACUCGGUGAAAUCAUAGUACCUGUGAAGAUGCAGGUUACCCGCGACAGGACGGAAAGACCCCGUGGAGCUUUACUGUAGCCUGAUAUUGAAAUUCGGCACAGCUUGUACAGGAUAGGUAGGAGCCUUUGAAACGUGAGCGCUAGCUUACGUGGAGGCGCUGGUGGGAUACUACCCUAGCUGUGUUGGCUUUCUAACCCGCACCACUUAUCGUGGUGGGAGACAGUGUCAGGCGGGCAGUUUGACUGGGGCGGUCGCCUCCUAAAAGGUAACGGAGGCGCUCAAAGGUUCCCUCAGAAUGGUUGGAAAUCAUUCAUAGAGUGUAAAGGCAUAAGGGAGCUUGACUGCGAGACCUACAAGUCGAGCAGGGUCGAAAGACGGACUUAGUGAUCCGGUGGUUCCGCAUGGAAGGGCCAUCGCUCAACGGAUAAAAGCUACCCCGGGGAUAACAGGCUUAUCUCCCCCAAGAGUUCACAUCGACGGGGAGGUUUGGCACCUCGAUGUCGGCUCAUCGCAUCCUGGGGCUGUAGUCGGUCCCAAGGGUUGGGCUGUUCGCCCAUUAAAGCGGUACGCGAGCUGGGUUCAGAACGUCGUGAGACAGUUCGGUCCCUAUCCGUCGUGGGCGUAGGAAAUUUGAGAGGAGCUGUCCUUAGUACGAGAGGACCGGGAUGGACAUACCUCUGGUGUACCAGUUGUCGUGCCAACGGCAUAGCUGGGUAGCUAUGUGUGGACGGGAUAAGUGCUGAAAGCAUCUAAGCAUGAAGCCCCCCUCAAGAUGAGAUUUCCCAACUUCGGUUAUAAGAUCCCUCAAAGAUGAUGAGGUUAAUAGGUUCGAGGUGGAAGCAUGGUGACAUGUGGAGCUGACGAAUACUAA